rnacentral:lncRNA from 1 species
CACAACCCCGAGCUGGUUGCACUAACACACCGGCUGGGGGAAACGAGUACACUGGCCAGUGUUGGGAUCAGGGAGGAGAGAUUCUGUGUGUUCUGGGGUGCCGAUGAGCAGAAGCUGGCUGCUCUGGGCACAAGCUUAAAUCAACCGAGUAGAAAAUAACAGGUUUCAACACAAACAUCUGUACAGACCUCACUCUGGAGAAAUUACUUUGUGUGGAACCCAGGAAAUUAGUUGGAAGAAUUUGUUCACUGUCUCUUUCAAGUUUAACAGCUUUACUUAAGAACUCAACUAGCAGAUGAUUUCUUUCCAUUGCUUUCUAAAUCAAUCACAAAUGUCUGUUUGAGAAAAGACCAGUGAAAAUUAAGUAGUAGUAAGAAGAGACACACCAGUGAUUGCAAAGUGGAGAGGCUGGUUUCCCUCUGUUAUGGACUGGAUUCUGUACCCCCAAAUUCAUAGGUAAGCCCUAACUCUUAAUGUGAUGGUAUUUGGAGAUAGGGCCUUGAAGGAGAUAAUUGAGGUGAAAGGAAAUGAUAAAGGUGGAGCCUUAAACCAAUAUGACUAGUGUGCUCAUGAGAAGAGGAAGAGACACCGGGGAUGUGCACACCCAGAGAAAAGGCCAUGGGAGGACACACCAAAAAGGUGGCCAUCUGCAAGCCAAGGAGAGAGGCCUCAGGAGAAAUCAAACCUGCCGACCCCUUGAUCUUGGACUUCCAGCCACCAGAACUGUGAGAAAAUAAAUAUCUGUAGUUUAAAACC